rnacentral:rRNA from 1 species
AUUGAACGCUGGCGGCAGGCCUAACACAUGCAAGUCGAACGAGUGGCGGACGGGUGAGUAAUGUAUGGGAAACUGCCUGAGGGAGGGGGAUAACUACUGGAAACGGUAGCUAAUACCGCAUACCCUCGGCUGAGACCAGAUGGGAUUAGCUAGUAGGUGGGGUAACGGCUCACCUAGGCGACGAUCCCUAGCUGGUCUGAUAGGAUAACCAGCCACACUGGAACUGAGACAAGGUCCAGACUCCUACGUGAGGAAGCAGUGGGGAAUAUUGCACAAUGGGCGCAAGCCUGAUGCAGCCAUGCCGCGUGUAUGAAGAAGGCCUUCGGGUUGUAAAGUACUUUCAGCGGGGAGGCGUUACCCGCAGAAGAAGCACCGGCUAACUCCGUGCCAGCAGCCGCGGUAAUUC